rnacentral:rRNA from 1 species
UACGUAGGGGGCAAGCGUUGUCCGGAAUCAUUGGGCGUAAAGAGCGUGUAGGCGGCCCGAAAAGUCUGGUGUGAAAUCUCGGGGCUCAACCCCGAGCUGUCACUGGAUACUGUCGGGCUUGAGUCCGGAAGAGGAGUGUGGAAUUCCUGGUGUAGCGGUGGAAUGCGCAGAUAUCAGGAGGAACACCGAUGGCGAAGGCAGCACUCUGGUACGUGACUGACGCUGAGACGCGAAAGCGUGGGGAGCAAACAGG